rnacentral:rRNA from 1 species
GACGAACGCUGGCGGCGCGCCUAACACAUGCAAGUCGAACGAGAAGGCGUAGCAAUACGCUUGUAGAGUGGCGAACGGGUGAGUAAUACGUGGGUGACCUACCCGUCGAGUGGGGAAUAACCCGCCGAAAGGCGGGCUAAUGCCGCGUACGCUUCCGUCCUCACGGGGACGGAAGGAAAGCUGUACCGUGGGUACGGCGCUCAAGGAUGGGCUCACGUCCUAUCAGCUUGUUGGUAGGGUAACGGCCUACCAAGGCUACGACGGGUAGCUGGUCUGAGAGGACGAUCAGCCACACUGGCACUGCGACACGGGCCAGACUCCUACGGGAGGCAGCAGGUGAGGAAUAUUGCGCAAUGGGCGAAAGCCUGACGCAGCGACGCCGCGU